AUUGAACGCUGGCGGCAGGCCUAACACAUGCAAGUCGAGCGGAUGAAGGGAGCUUGCUCCUGGAUUCAGCGGCGGACGGGUGAGUAAUGCCUAGGAAUCUGCCUGGUAGUGGGGGAUAACGUCCGGAAACGGGCGCUAAUACCGCAUACGUCCUGAGGGAGAAAGUUGGGGAUCUUCGGACCUCACGCUAUCAGAUGAGCCUAGGUCGGAUUAGCUAGUUGGUGGGGUAAAUGCCUACCAAGGCGACGAUCCGUAACUGGUCUGAGAGGAUGAUCAGUCACACUGGAACUGAGACACGGUCCAGACUCCUACGGGAGGCAGCAGUGGGGAAUAUUGGACAAUGGGCGAAAGCCUGAUACAGCCAUGCCGCGUGUGUGAAGAAGGUCUUCGGAUUGUAAAGCACUUUAAGUUGGGAGGAAGGGCAGUAAGUUAAUACCUUGCUGUUUUGACGUUAACAACAGAAUAAGCACCGGCUAACUACGUG
rnacentral:rRNA from 1 species